CCACAACCAAGUGAGAAUCCCGAAAGCCUCUGAGUAAGCAACGAGAAUGCAUUAGACAGAGACAGCACGGUAAACAAUCCAGCAAGCAGCGACGGGAGACAACAUGGGGAAGAGGCUUCCAGGACCUUCACAAAUACUUCAACUUUAUUGCCCUGACUCCUUGCUGAGAAUAUGAUUCGAAGAAAAGCACUCAUCAAAACACCCAGGGAAACACAAUCUUUGACAUGGAAAUAUCAGCAAGUGUUGGAAAGACAUUCCAGGAGUGAAGCAUUUAUUAUGUAUCUUCGAGGAUGAACUCUUACACUUUAUCACUCUGCUGCCUGUUAUGAGGGUAUGUCGAUUGGACUAUGGG